UACGUAGGUGGCGAGCGUUGUCCGGAAUUACUGGGUGUAAAGCGCGUGUAGGCGGGAGGCCAAGUCUGUGGUGAAAUCGCCCGGCUUAACUGGGCGGGGUCCAUGGAAACUGGUCACCUGGAGGUCGGUAGAGGCAAGUGGAAUUCCCGGUGUAGUGGUGAAAUGCGUAGAGAUCGGGAGGAACACCAGUGGCGAAGGCGGCUUGCUGGGCCGGACCUGACGCUGAGACGCGAAGGCGUGGGGAGCGAACGGG
rnacentral:rRNA from 1 species